GACGGAGGGUGCAAGCGUUGUUCGGAAUUACUGGGCGUAAAGCGCGGGCAGGUGGCCUUUUAAGUCCUUUGUGAAAUUCCGGAGCUCAACUCCGGAUGUGCAUAGGAUACUGGAAGGCUAGAGACUGGUAGAGGCGAGCGGAAUUCCUGGUGUAGCGGUGGAAUGCGUAGAUAUCAGGAGGAACACCGGUGGCGAAGGCGGUUCUCUGGGCAUGUCCUGACGCUGAGGAGCGAAAGUGUGGGGAGCGAACAGG
rnacentral:rRNA from 1 species